UCUCAGAAAAAUUUAAAUAAUAGGGUUAUUUGAAAAAUAGCCUUACAAAAUUUUUCCGGAAUUUUAGAAAUUUUCUGGGAAUUUUUCGGAACUCGUAUGACGGGUUUUGAGAGGAUCAAUUAACGGGUACGGAUAAAGCUUGUUUGGGAUACCCGUUUAGGUGAGGAAAAGAUUUAAUUAUAAAUUCCUUUAUUUCUUUUCUUCCCCCCAAAUCGCCGAUCCACCCGACCCUCACGAUCCCGAUCUCUUCUUCCCCGAUCUCCCCUUCUUCCUUCUCUGUUCUCUCUCUCUCGGACGAGCGACGGCGACGGGAGCAAGGCUCCAGCUCCGACGAUCUUCCUUUACCAGCGUCGGCGGCCGUUGAGCACAGAUCCAGGCGGUGUUGUUCCUCUCCGGAUCGCAGGCAUGGCGUCGCAUCUUCUCUAGCCGACCUUGCUUCCCCGAUCCGACGCUACUGGAUCGAUCCAGAUCCACCCGAUCGUCAGCGUGGAAGGAACAUUAGGGUCUUGAGGAUCUUGGAUCCAAUCUUCGUUCUUGUUAAUUUGGGGACAGAAGAAUUCCUGGUACGUUGCUUCACGGAUCGGAUGGGGCGACGUUUUCUGGAGACGAUCGAUUGAGGUAAGCUUAGGUCUUCUUCUCUGCUACCGAUACUCUAUCCUUGAUCCUCAUCUUCUCGUGAUUGAUUUAGGUUUCGGUUGAUGAUGAUGGAAUCAAUUGAGUUGUUGGGCAGAGGAUUGAAGGGUUGAUUGAUGUCUUGGAUUGCUUGAUUUGAGAUCAGUGAUCUGCUUGUUGAUCUCUUCUCUUGAUCCGAUUAGUGAGGUGAGUUCUGUUGCUGUGAGGCUGGGAUUGUGAUCUUUGAGGUGUAUCCAGCAGCUUUCCCUAACCGGCAGCAACCCCUUUGGUUGUGAUCUAUUGGUGAUCACCUUGGAUUCGAGGAGUCUGAUUUGAGACAGGCGUCUUGACGUUGACUUCGGAUUUGGAUUGUACCUUCUAUUUCAGGCGGGU